AUUGAACGCUGGCGGCAUGCCUAACACAUGCAAGUCGAACGCGUGGCUUCGGCCACGAGUGGCGCACGGGUGAGUAGCGCGUGGGAACCUGCCCUUGGGUACGGAAUAACCGCGGGAAACUGCGGCUAAUACCGUAUACGUCCCCCGGACGAGAGUUUGGGGGAGAAAGAUUUAUCGCCCAAGGAGGGGCCCGGGUCCGAUUAGGUUGUUGGUGGGGUAACGGCUCACCAAGCCGAUGAUCGGUAGCUGGUCUGAGAGGAUGAUCAGCCACACUGGGACUGAGACACGGCCCAGACUCCUACGGGAGGCAGCAGUGGGGAAUAUUGGACAAUGGGGGCAACCCUGAUCCAGCAAUGCCGCGUGAGUGAUGAAGGCCUUCGGGUUGUAAAGCUCUUUCGCCCACGACGAUGAUGACGGUAGUGGGAGAAGAAGCCCCGGCUAACUUCGUGCCAGCCGCCGCGGUAAAAC
rnacentral:rRNA from 1 species